rnacentral:tRNA from 1 species
UCCCUGGUAGCUCAGAGGUUAAAGCGUCUGCCUGCAAUGCGGGAGACCCAGGAUUGACCCCUGGGUUGGGAA